rnacentral:rRNA from 1 species
UACAGAGGGCCCAAGCGUUGCUCGGAUUCACUGGGCGUAAAGGGCGCGUAGGCGGUCGGGUAAGUCUGAUGUGAAAUCUCACAGCUUAACUGUGAAACUGCAUUGGAUACUAUCCGGCUCGAGGAAUGGAGGGGAGACUGGAAUACUUGGUGUAGCAGUGAAAUGCGUAGAUAUCAAGUGGAACACCAGUGGCGAAGGCGAGUCUCUGGACAUUUCCUGACGCUGAGGCACGAAAGCCAGGGGAGCAAACGGG